CCCGGAAGUCGGGCUAAGGCCUCACCCCUCCAGUGUCUGUCUCACUGCUACCGUGCUGUGUGUUUGGGGCAGUGCGCCCUGAACUCCAUCACCAGCGCUGGUUCUAACACUGUUUAACCUGGUCGGCAAAGAAGAGGGAGCCACAGCCAGCGCUGAGCAAGGUGCAGAGCAGCUCUGCCACCCCCAGUGCAGCCCAGCAGUGGGCAGAGCCAGGGCCUGGCUGGACCCAAGUGGAGCUCAGCGGUGGUGAACCCACAGCACGCAUGCCACAAACGCUGUUCCUGUCACUGAAACGUCUAAAAGCCAGGUGCCCUUGUACAGUGCACAGCCCAUGCCACUGUGCACGGUGUGAUCCACUGCCGACUCCCGCCGCUGCCAGAUUCAAGUCUACGUGUGACCCCAAGAAGCGCCAGAGACCUUUUUCAAUAUAGAGCCUUUCUGUCCUCCAGCCAGUGCAGGUGGCCUUUUUCUGGCGAGGAGUGGGGUGGCUUUAUGCACUGGGUUAUACCUCACCCCCACCCUGACCCCUGCGGCACGGCCCAAAAGCCAAUUCACCAAGAC
rnacentral:lncRNA from 1 species